CAUUUCCUUCUCCAGGGGAUCUUCCUGACUCAGGGAUUGAAGCCGGGUCUGCAUUGCCGGCGCAUUCUUUACCAUCUAAGCCACCAGGGUCUAACCUUACCAGCUUUAAAUGUUGACAUUUUCUAAUUUGUUAUAAAGAUAGUUAAUGCCAAAAAGUCUAGAAGGUAGAUAAAAGGGAAUGGUCAGCUUUUAGUAACUUUAUUGGUAACACUCCAUCUAUAAUAUCCAGUGAGAUUUGCUAAGUGUCAAGAGGUUUUAAACAGUAAAAGGAAAAUCUGAUUUGGUAGCCCUCCAGGUCUUCCCCAAUAGACUGAAAGUCCCAUUCCUGUUAGUAAAAUACACAAGGGCGCCUUCACUGGCAGUCCAGCGGCUGAGACUCCAUGCUUCCACUGCAGAAGGUGUGGGUCCAAUCCCUGGCUGGGAACUAAGAUCCCACAGGACGCACGAUAACCCAAAAGGCAGAAAAAAGGAGAACACAGAUUGGUUUAUUCUAUUGUUAAACAGUUAUUAAUGUGCCCCCCAAAGGUUAAGACGACCUAAGCAGGAGUUUUAGUGGCCAUUUUUGAAAGCCAAGUAACAUUCCACCUCUGACUGGCAUGAUCAAAGCUUCUCUGAUAGUCCCAAACCAUAGUGAAUGAAGUGCUACACACAACUGCAACCUGUGAAGUGUUUAGUUCCUUUAUUCUCAAAGACAACAAGAAAAGAAAGCACAUGAUGUUCUUCAAAAUUCUAAAAGCAGUGGAGUCAUUUGUGUCUCUAGUCAGGGGCUGGGGUUCCUGGCCCCUCCCUUUCCAGCAAGGCCAAGAGGUAACUUGAGGUAAUGUCUUUGCCUUGAGAAUGAGGGCUUGAAUUGCAGCAAAUAACCUACAUCUAUUUGCAUACUGAACCAGAACUCACAAGAGGGAUUAUAACAAAAACCUGUUCUGGACAGCUGCUUACUCAUUGCCUUUAGAGCUGUGCGGCGCUGGGACAGGCAGGUGCCAACCGUUUACUCAUUCUCUUUGACCUACUAGCCUUCCACGGUUUGCUGUGUGGGUGUUGAUGCUACUAAAAAAAAAAAAAAAAGUUGUUUUACAUGGUCCCCGCUCUCCCCAUACACCCUGGAUUCAUUUGAGAUCUGAGAUACUAGACUCUGUAGUUGGGAUGCCGGCCCAAACUGUGGCCCAGAGACAGUGAGUCAGUUCUAAGUGGCUGGCUGAGUCUCGGAACAGAAAUGAAACGCAACUUAGAGGCUUUGUCAGCCAAAUCCACAAAUGUGUGGCUUUUUGAAACAUCAGACAUCUGUUCUUUUUAAUUUAAAAUAAACCUUUUUAAAAAGCACAGAGUUACUUGGCGCCUUGUUCCUUUGUGUCAGCAGCAGUUGCUGCUGUAACUCAGUAAAGCCUCUAAUCAGAGUUAGAAAAUUUGGCAUCUUUCAGGGCACACCUCAGAGACUAAGUGGAGCUGAAUUGCUUGGGGAAGGGAAGAGAUGAUUUUACAGCACACGGUCUAUUUGGAAAUCCCCUUCUGGGGUAAUCAGCCCAGGUGUUCAACCCGUUUGUUAACCAUUUCCAAAUGACUCAAAGGACAUAAGGGAAGGCUUGGACACACUCCAGCACUGUUUCUACAGUGUUAGUAUCUGUUUGCGUUGGAAACCGCAUUCCUGAAUUCUUGAGGGGAAGGCUCUGGCUUUUUCUGGGUAUCCUUGGCUGAGAGGGACCCCUGGGCCACCUAUCUAAGCUAACAGUCCCAGUCUUCUGAGUUUCCAGGGAGGAGUGUGGACAGCUUGCUUUGAUGGCCUUCCACCCAGAGCCCUUUGGGAAAAACCUUGUUUAUUCAAGGAGGCCUCUGCCAGCCACUUUUCUCUCCCCCCACCCCACCUAAUUCCAAACGUCAUUUCCCUUUGUUGCCAUUUAUCCCCCUUUAGGGAACAGCAUGAGCAGCUUUUUCCUCCAGGCCACUCACUUGUGACUGACCCUGCCCGACAGCAUUGCUUAAUUGUGUCCCCGUCUGUUUCUGACGGAGGGAAAAAUUGUUUUUUGUGGAGUGAGGCAGUUUGGGAUUUGCAAAAAGGGAUGGGUUCCGCCUUUCCCCAAAGGUGGGGAAUGCCUGUUCAGAUUUCUCUUGUCUUCCUCUGGCUCCUUACCAGGCAGCAAAGAACAGCUCCGGUUCACUUCUCCCAGCAGGAAGUGCUGACGCCCGAUGCUCCAUGUUACCAGAGAACUGUUGUCCUCGACUUCCUUUUACAACUUAAAAAGAUGAAAGCCAAAAAUAAUGAGGGAAGGCUUUUAUCUGCCUUUCGUUUCUGAUGGCACUUCCUAGUGUCUUGAAUCACUUUCACCUGGAAGACAGUCCUAAGCCUCUUACAGCUGCCAGACUUUCUCUACCGAACCUCACAUGGUUUGGCCACACUCUUGAGACUCUUCAGGUGCCUCUUCUCCAUUUGGUCCUUUGCACCAACCUCCCUUCCACUCCCAUGUCCCCUCCAGAGUGUGUUCCUUGUAAACAGCCGCACACCACCAGCAAUCAAGAUUGGCUCCCAGGCACCUCCUCUGAUGUGCCCUGUACCAGGAAGCACAGUGGAUUUAUGAUAACUUUGAUAAUGAUUGCUUGCUUGCUUGCUUGCUUGCUUUGUACCAGGCAGGGUUUUCAGUGUUGUUUUACGUUAUUGUAUUUAAUCAUUAAAUCCUUCCAACAGCCCCAUGAGGAAAUGAAGGCAGAGAAGUUCAGUGAUUUGCUGGAGGAAGCAAGGAAGUAGAGCAAGAAUUAAACCUAGGUGUUCUGGCUGGCUCUUAGCCACUCAGUUCUGUGGAAAAGUCCAGUGCAAAAGUCCAAGUGUCUGCUUGCUUGUUUCAUCUUGUGAUCACAAGGAAAGGAAGCCAGAAGUAACGUGUUCAAAGUUUCAUACCUACAAAGUGCUCACUCCAUGGCAGUCUGAAUGUGUUCCCCCCAAAUUUACACGGUGAAACCCUAACUCUCAAGGUCCUGAUAUCAGGAGGUAAGGCCUUCGGGACUGAGAUUCUCACCACAGUGGAGCCCUCGUGAGUGCGGUGACAGGCCCACGAGAGCUCCUUCGCCUCUGCCGCCAGCUCAGGACACAGCAAGAAGACGCCGUCUGCAAACCACGAAGUGAGCCUUCACUGGACGUCGCAUCUGCUGGGACCUUACUCUUGGAAUUCCCGGCCUUCAGAAAUAAACUUCUGUGGUUUAUAAGCCA